CCUACGGGAGGCAGCAGUGGGGAAUAUUGCACAAUGGGGGGAACCCUGAUGCAGCAACGCCGCGGGGGUGAAGAAGUACUUCGGUAUGUAAAGCCCUGUCAGCAGGGAAGAAAAUGACGGUACCUGACCAAGAAGCCCCGGCUAACAACGUGCCAGCAGCCGCGGUAAUACGUAGGGGGCACGCGUUAUCCGGAUUUACUGGGUGUAAAGGGAGCGUAGACGGCAAGGCAAGUCUGGAGUGAAAGCCCGUGGCUCCACCACGGGCCUGCUUUGGAAACUGUGUUGCUGGCGUGCAGGAGGGGUAAGCGGCAUUCCUAGUGUAGCGGUGACAUGCGUAGAUAUUAGUAGGAACACCGGUGGCGAAGGCGGCUUACUGGACUGUAACUGACGUUGAGGCUCGAAGGCGUGGGGAGCAAACAGGAUUAGAUACCCUGGUAGUC
rnacentral:rRNA from 1 species